UCAUCUCAGGUUAGCCUUUGCUGACUGCACAAUCUGGGAAAGUGUCAUCUCAGGUUAGCCUUUGCUGACUGCACAAUCUGGGAAAGUGUCAUCUCAGGUUAGCCUUUGCUGACUGCACAAUCUGGGAAAGUGUCAUCUCAGGUUAGCCUUUGCUGACUGCACAAUCUGGGAAAGUGUCAUCUCAGGUUAGCCUUUGCUGACUGCACAAUCUGGGAAAGUGUCAACUCAGGUUAGCCUUUGCUGACUGCACAAUCUGGGAAAGUGUCAUCUCAGGUUAGCCUUUGCUGACUGCACAAUCUGGGAAAGUGUCAUCUCAGGUUAGCCUUUGCUGACUGCACAAUCUGGGAAAGUGUCAUCUCAGGUUAGCCUUUGCUGACUGCACAAUCUGGG